GUGAGCCGUGUGAUGGGAAACCUCCCCGCACGGUUCGGAGAGCACUUAAUUAGAAUGUUCCUGGGGGGUACCACAUCAUUGCAAGGGUAACAGAGCUCGAUUCGCAGAUUGGUUCGACCCGGAAUUCACUUCCGACCCUGU
rfam:Pseudolarix amabilis NADH dehydrogenase subunit 5 (nad5) gene, partial cds; mitochondrial gene for mitochondrial product.